CCCAUCAGUUUUUCUUUCGAUUUUCAUUCACUUUGAAGUCUGCCACUGUCUUUCCAGUUUCUGCCGGCCAAAUUUCAUUAGACGUACUCUGCAUGAGGGGUGUGGACCUUGAUUCAAGCAGAGUCAGGGAACUUAACUGGUCCUAGAUUGCAUAACUGAAUAAGGCCAGAAAGUGUUUUUAAUAGAGAUGAAAUACACUUUUGCACUGAGAUGUUAAUUUUUUAUAUGCUUGUUCUCGUUUGCCUUCCAUCAAAUUUGCGUACUCGGUUUACUCUACCCCGGUUAUCAUUCUGUUCUCUAUGUGCGAGCAUCUUUUCAGGUCCUUUUUAGCACUUUGUGCACUGGCACUUGGGCAAAACGACGACGGCAAGUGUCCUUAAAAUAGUCAUCAAAUAACAAGCACACAGCCACAAUGGCAAAAGCAGAA